rnacentral:rRNA from 1 species
AGUGGGGAAUAUUGCACAAUGGGCGAAAGCCUGAUGCAGCGACGCCGCGUGGAGGAUGAAGGCUUUCGGGUCGUAAACUCCUGUCUGGGGGGAUGAAUACUGACAGUACCCCCGGAGGAAGCCCCGGCUAACUACGUGCCAGCAGCCGCGGUAAUACGUAGGGGGCAAGCGUUGUCCGGAAUUACUGGGCGUAAAGCGCGCGCAGGUGGUUUGUUAAGUCAGAUGUCAAAGUUCGGGGCUCAACCCCGUAUCGCAUUUGAAACUGGCAGACUUGAGUGCAGGAGAGGAAAGUGGAAUUCCUAGUGUAGCGGUGAAAUGCGUAGAUAUUAGGAGGAACACCAGUGGCGAAGGCGACUUUCUGGACUGCAACUGACGCUGAGGCGCGAAAGCUAGGGGAGCAAACAGGAUUAGAUACCCUGGUAGUCCUAGCCGUAAACGAUGGGUACUAGGUGUUGGGGGUGACAAUCCUCCAGUGCCGCAGCUAACGCAUUAAGUACCCCGCCUGGGGAGUACGGCCGCAAGGUUGAAACUCAAAGGAAUUGACGGGGGCCCGCACAAGCAGCGGAGCAUGUGGUUUAAUUCGAUGCAACGCGAAGAACCUUACCAGGGCUUGACAUCCUCUGAAGCUGCAAGAGAUUGCAGUGUCCCUUCGGGGCAGAGUGACAGGUGGUGCAUGGUUGUCGUCAGCUCGUGUCGUGAGACGUUGGGUUAAGUCCCGCAACGAGCGCAACCCUUAUUCUUAGUUGCCAGCACUUCGGGUGGGCACUCUAAGGAGACUGCCGGUGACAAACCGGAGGAAGGUGGGGAUGACGUCAAAUCAUCAUGCCCCUUAUGUCCUGGGCUACACACGUGCUACAAUGGCCUGAACAACGGGCAUGCGAAGGAGCGAUCCGGAGCAAAUCCCUUAAAUCAGGUCCCAGUUCGGAUUGCAGGCUGCAACUCGCCUGCAUGAAGUCGGAGUUGCUAGUAAUCGCGGAUCAGAAUGCCGCGGUGAAUGCGUUCCCGGGCCUUGUACACACCGCCCGUCACACCACGAAAGUUUGUAACACCCGAAGCCGGUGAGCUAACCGCAAGGAGGCAGCCGUCGAAGGUGGGACAGAUAAUUGGGGUG